AUUGAACGCUGGCGGCAUGCCUUACACAUGCAAGUCGAACGGCAGCACGGGUGCUUGCACCUGGUGGCGAGUGGCGAACGGGUGAGUAAUACAUCGGAACAUGUCCUGUAGUGGGGGAUAGCCCGGCGAAAGCCGGAUUAAUACCGCAUACGAUCUACGGAUGAAAGCGGGGGACCUUCGGGCCUCGCGCUAUAGGGUUGGCCGAUGGCUGAUUAGCUAGUUGGUGGGGUAAAGGCCUACCAAGGCGACGAUCAGUAGCUGGUCUGAGAGGACGACCAGCCACACUGGGACUGAGACACGGCCCAGACUCCUACGGGAGGCAGCAGUGGGGAAUUUUGGACAAUGGGCGAAAGCCUGAUCCAGCAAUGCCGCGUGUGUGAAGAAGGCCUUCGGGUUGUAAAGCACUUUUGUCCGGAAAGAAAUCCUUGGCUCUAAUACAGUCGGGGGAUGACGGUACCGGAAGAAUGAGCACCGGCUAACUACGUG
rnacentral:rRNA from 1 species